UACGGGGGGGGCAAGCGUUGUUCGGAAUUACUGGGCGUAAAGGGCUCGUAGGCGGCCAACUAAGUCGGAUGUGAAAUCCCCAGGCUUAACCUGGGAACUGCAUCCGAUACUGGAUGGCCUGAAUCCGGGAGAGGGAUGCAGAAUUCCAGGUGUAGCGGUGAAAUGCGUAGAUAUCUGGAGGAAUACCGGUGGCGAAGGCGGCAUCCUGGACCGGCAUUGACGCUGAGUGAGCGAAAGCCAGGGGAGCAAACGGG
rnacentral:rRNA from 1 species